rnacentral:lncRNA from 1 species
CCUACACUGCCGCUCAGCUCCCGGCGCGAGUGGAGGUCGGGGUGGGGAGACGCGACUCCUGCCCGGGAUGGCUGACACUCUGCGAGCCCCGGCGGCCCGCGGCCGGGCCGGGUGACUAGGCGGAGGGCGCGGAGGGUCCGCGGCGGGCGGGUGGCGCUGCAGCAGCCUGGGCACGGCUGCCGCCGCCCGCGGGCGAGAGUGUGCACGGGUGUGGAAGGCCGGAGUGCGGGCCGUGAGGGGUGUGCGCGCUUGAGCCGGAGCGGGGCUCGCUCCUCGUCGGCUCCCGCCGCCCAGCCGGUGAUCGCUCUCCGGCCGUCCCCGGCACCCUCGGCCCCCCACGGCGGUUGGUCCGGGCGGGGGAAGGAGAAAGUGAGACUCGGGGUCAUCACCAAUCCAUCGCCAGAAGGGGAGGAAAUUGGAAUCCAGCAGCGGCGAGCAGCAGCUGGGCGGUCACAUCUGGAAAUGGAAAGCCGACCUCCCCCUCCUCCUCCUCCUCCCCCUCCUCCUCCUCCUCCUCUCUCACCCAGGAUCACUUCCGAAACCACUUCGCCUUCAGCCCCUGCCUCGGCCAGAGGGAUUUAUUUAAUGGGGAUGUGUUCAAGGCAAGAGCGAAUUCAGAAGGAUAUCGACGUCGUGAUCCAGAAGUCCAGAGCUGAGAAGGACUGCCUGUUUGCAGAUUUCAGAUACUCAGACUCCACCUUUACUUUUACCUAUGUUGGCGGCCCCAGAAGG